AGUGCUGUACUUUAAAUAAAAAGGGUGGCUUUGCGUGCCAGAAUUAGGAUAGUUCCUCGGCGCUGC
rnacentral:tRNA from 1 species